rnacentral:sRNA from 1 species
CCCGUACCACUGGACAUCAGCUAGUUCUGGAUAGAGGGAGGAAUCCAGGAAACAGCUAUCAUUGUAGCUCCUGUGGGAGGCCCAAGAAAGAUGAGAGAGUUAGUGGAGGAGGAUGGGCUCAGCCAGGCCUGCACUGAGAAGGAUGUGUUCACCUUGACAGGGCCCUGUGCUAAUCACGAGUCUUUCCUGUUCAGAGCAGUGAGGCCUGAGACCCUCAACGGUGCUGUGUGUACAGAAGGCCCCCAGAAUCCACAGAAAGGGCCCGCCUGAAACCUAGAGCAUUUGUGAAGGAGGAGAAUGGAAGGAACAACUGGAUGUUGUAAAUGUUUCUCAUCUGGCCUUAAAAUCCAUGAAAGCUGGAAAAUGCCAAGGCAUCUGUGCACAUACUGGUGGAUUUUAAUGAGAGUCCUGUGUUUGGAGCACCAGAAAUAAACCAGCUUCAGAAGCAAAAACGACGUUAACAGGAGGAGGAAGCAGAGCUAGAGCUGGAAGGAGACCCAGCCAGCCCGGGCUCCAGUGACAUCAGCCGGUACACGCUCUUGUUUGCUUACGCUUGUUGAACUGAGUUUUUCAUAUGUAACUAACCAAUACUGGCACAUGAUUUGAACGUCUAUGACACUCUUCCGAGCUGACACAGUGAAGAACAUGGAAGGAGAACUCACCCAGUCUGCCAGGGUCACAGAUGAUCAUACUCAAGAUCUUCCUGGGGAGUCAACGGCAAAUUUCACUGGG